GGCGAGGGGAAGGAGGCAACCCCAAAGCCCUCCCUCCUCCUCUUCCCCCACCCUGCAAGCCCCAGGCUUGAAACUUGAUUUAAAAAAAAAAAUACAAGAUUGAAUUUCAGUUUGCAGGAUUAGGGAGAUGACUUUUAGGGGCUGCUUGUUGGAAAAAAAGGAAAGCAAAGCAGCUGGGAGGGAUUAGGCUGAGCUGGCGUCUGCACUUUCAACUGAUUCAAUUUUGCUCCACAAGACAUUGUAUCUGAGCCUUUCUGGAGACUAUUCAAAGCAAAUCAUUUUCAUUUUACCAUUUGGUGGUGCUGUGGGGAUCCCAAGGGAUGGGGAGUGAUGAAGAUGCUUGUGGUGACCUGACCCUGCCACCCAGAGCACUUCGGCCGUGCUGCAAGAGAUGCAGCCCCAUUCUGAAGGGAAAAGUUCUGCUGUUAUUCCCAUUCCCAAGAUGAUGAGCCCCCAAAGAAAUAAUGCUCCUUGUUAAUGCUCCUUGGACUGUAAUGAGUCUGGGAUGUCGGGAUGCUCUCAGGAAUGACAGACAGGCAGGUGUCCACAUCUCCAUUCAGGUCCCAGGGCAGGUGUGGGGACACGCUGAGGCGCCACAGCGUCCCCAGAGAGGAGGGUGGCCAUCCCAGCUGCAAUUCCUCUGCCUGGGGCUCAGGUCUGUCACCAGCUGUCCUGGCCCUGCUGCAUUUCCCAGCAAUGCUGGAGACUUAGACCACAAUAGAAGGAAAUCACUAAAGCUGAAUUGCUCCAACCUGGGGGCUGAGGACCUGACUCCAGAAAGUCUCCAUCCAGAUCACCAACCUGCACCCACAGGCAGCAACCCCACGGUGAGGCAGGACCUGGCAUGGGCUCAGCCUGCCUGGGGAUAG
rnacentral:lncRNA from 1 species